rfam:Stegodyphus mimosarum contig53249, whole genome shotgun sequence.
GCCUUCGUGGUGUAGUGGUUAGCACGCUCGACGCGUAUUCGAGAGGUCCAUGGUUCGAGUCCUGGCGAAGGCU